rnacentral:tRNA from 1 species
GGGGAUUUAGCUCAGCGGUAGAGCGCUUGCCUAGCAAGCAGGAGUCACUGGGUUCGGUCCCCAGCUCUG